rnacentral:lncRNA from 1 species
AUGCUCAGCUUCAGACUCCAUGAACUGGUCCAAGGCUCUGCAUCUUGUCCUCCACCUAUGUUGCAGAGAGAAAAUUAUUUCUCUAGUCUGAGCUUUCAUGAGAAGGAUGCUUUGCUCUGGACAGGACUGCCUGAAGGCCAGAGGAGUGAGGAGAAAUCAUCCCCACUGAUACUUCUGAAGCACAGGCCUGCAUCGUUUGCUCUACAGCAUUUUUACCUCAGCAUAAAUAUCCUAAUACUCAUCAUUUUGGGAAAAAGACUAUUAUACAAACAAGUAUACACUGAAUUCAAGGGCCCCAUGCUGGCCCUCUGGAAGGACUUUCCUCCCAUUUCCAGUUGGAAAGCGUAGGUACAGGAGCACAAAAUGUCACUCGAAGGCUUUUCUCUAAGAGAAUGCACGAGCACAACUUCAAUAGGUGCUGGGAGCAGCAAGUCAAGAGGCAGCAGUAUUGUUUGCUUCCACCUGAGGGCAAAAAGAAAUGCGCUGCCUGACCUUAGAUGGAUCAGAUUCACGGCAGCCAAGCAGGAGGCGGUCAGACAUCCCCCACUGCUUUGCUGCUGUUCCCCACCCCUGGUGUAAUGCUGCCUUACACCAUGCACCGAGGCUGAUGCACCAGCCCGGGGCAGUACCAGCGUUCCUCGUGCCGUGCAGGUUGUGUAAGUCAUUUCCCUCUCUGACUUCUCCUUUCACAAUAGGCGCUGCAAUUUGUGCUUUGGCUCUCUUCCUAAUGACUAUAUUAUUAGCUCUAUUUUCAUCUGCUCUCAGCUGUUUGUUUUGCUUAGUUAUUUUGGCUGCUCUGCCUGUCACAAAUUGAAUAGCUGAACCAAAUCCACCAGUGCUGCCAGAGGAAGCCCAUCACUCUGUCCGGCCGUCAUCUCUUUCAGCCCACAUUUGCUCCCUGCCCACACCAGCCUCCCAGCCGCUGUCCUGCUGCAUUUCCCACCCUAUAGCAGCACAGCGAGGAGCCGGGUGGCCAUAUGGCCUGGGGCAGCUGGGCCACAGGAGUCUCCAUUUAUAAACCUAGCCUGUGCUUCUGAAGCUGCAGAAGGUGGUUAAUAUGUUAUGUGUCACUUUAUGGGCUAUUCCAGUCUUAAUUACAAAGUCUGACAUGGUGCACAGAAGCUGUCCUAUCAAAUGCGCUCCCUGCGGGAGCAGCAGGCGUUGUCUGUCACUCAAAGUAUUUUUCCGUCGGCAUCCAGGACGUUUGAGCAAAGCAGCUGAUGCUCUUCACUAGUCAAGGUGGCUUGUCCUACUCUAUGUCACCACUGUCCCCUCAGCAGUGUGUCUGGGGUCUAGGUUUCUGGUACAUAUAAUGGAAAUGCAGACUGCAAAGGGGUGGGAGAAGACCUUGAGGCUCUUAGUGGGUCUGUGAAGGGGAAGGUUCUGCGUGGCUUGUUUUCUCUUGCUCUCAUGUAAGCUUCAGACCUCAGAGGUCUUUAAUUCAGGCACUGUAGGGAUGAAGUCAUCCUGAAUUCACCUCUCUGGGUCUUUGGACAGAACAAAUUGUUACAAGAGAGUGUAAGCUAUGAUGGAGUUUUCGAGCACUUUUACCCCAACUUUUAUCCCUGUGUCCAAGCAUGCAUGGAAGCUGCAUGCUGGUUUUAAUCUCUAAUGACACCAAAUCAGCUGGAAGUGGUUGCUGGCUUCCACAAUCAAUUGUAGGAGAUCUCCAAGAGAAUGACAGAAAGUGAGAGAGCUUCCAUUAGCCCUGAAAAACCUCAUCAAAGAUAAGAAAAAUGUUACAAACCGCUCUCCACUCCAAUAAACAUAUUAAUAACCCAGUUCUCA